rnacentral:rRNA from 1 species
GAUGAACGCUGGCGGCGUGCUUAACACAUGCAAGUCGAACGGAAAGGCUCCUGCUUGCAGGGGUACUCGAGUGGCGAACGGGUGUGUAACACGUGGGUGAUCUGCCCUGCACUUCGGGAUAAGCCUGGGAAACUGGGUCUAAUACCGGAUAGGACCACAUUUUGGAUGGUGUGGUGGAAAGUUUUUCGGUGUGGGAUGAGCUCGCGGCCUAUCAGCUUGUUGGUGGGGUAAUGGCCUACCAAGGCGUCGACGGGUAGCCGGCCUGAGAGGGUGUACGGCCACAUUGGGACGGAGAUACGGCCCAGACUCCUACGGGAGGCAGCAGUGGAGAAUAUUGCACAAUGGGCGCAAGCCUGAUGCAGCGACGCCGCGUGGGGGAUGACGGCCUUCGUGUUGUAAACUCCUUUCGCUAGGGACGAAGCGUUUGUGUGACGGUACCUGGAGAAGAAGCACCGGCUAACUACGUG